rnacentral:rRNA from 1 species
GGGUAACCUUUAUGGAGCCAGCCGCCGAAGGUGGGACAGAUAAUUGGGGUGAAGUCGUAACAAGGUAGCCGUAUCGGAAGGUGCGGCUGGAUCACCUCCUUUCUAAGGA